AUGACACCCAAAUGAAUAAACACUAGCACCUCUUCAUGUGAAAUGAUCAACUCAAGUAACUAACCAUAGAAUUGAUGUACGAAGGAAUAUACAAGUCCUCGUAAGAUAAAUAUAGUAGGAUAGCAACACACAUAGACAGCAUGAUUAUGGAUGUAAUUUGGUCAGAAAUGAAAAAUAUAAGGUAGAGGAGAGGAAAAAAUACACGGAAAAG
rnacentral:misc_RNA from 1 species